UACGGGGGGGGCAAGCGUUGUUCGGAAUUACUGGGCGUAAAGGGCUCGUAGGCGGCCAACUAAGUCAGACGUGAAAUCCCUAGGCUCAACCUAGGAACUGCGUCUGAUACUGGCGGGCUUGAAUUCGGGAGAGGGAUGUGGAAUUCCAGGUGUAGCGGUGAAAUGCGUAGAUAUCUGGAGGAACACCAAUGGCGAAGGCAGCCUUCUGGGCCAACACUGACGCUCAUGCACGAAAGCGUGGGGAGCAAACAGG
rnacentral:rRNA from 1 species